CACUGAUGAUUUGUUCUUCACUUCUUGAAAAUGGCUUACACAAGUGUUCAUUUUUGGAUAGUACUAAAAUUUGUUUCCAGGUAUUAGGAGGCAGAGUUCAAUCUAAAAAUCUUUUCAUGCUGUAUACACAUUAAAAGUUUACUCUAAUCCCUCCCGAAUGGACAGCUUGAUUCUGACCCCAAAUUUGGGUUCAUCAGUGCAAUGUUAGGCAAUAUUUGUUUGUUCACUCUUUCCUUUCCUCCAUGUACUUCCCAAGCUCCAAGGUUGUGGACCUUGGCAACUAUUCAGCAUGGAAAUAAGAUACCAGCUUCCCGUUCUGCCAAGUGGAUUUCUGAGUCAGUCAUUUGGAAGCCUUCCCCAGUGACUCUGAGUGGGUGAGAACAUUGCUGUCAUCUCUACACAUAAAUUCACCAUUGGAGAACUUUCUGUUCAACAAAUGUCUUGUUUCCUUUUUUUUUUUUUUAUUAGUACUAGGAAUUGAAUCUACGAGUACUCUAUCCACUGAACUACAUUCCCAGCCUUUUCUAUUUUAAGAAGGUCUUGAGAAGUUGCCAAGGCUGGCUUUGAACUUAUGAUCCUCCUGCCUCAGCUUCACAGGUACCUGGAAUUGUAGCUUUAUUGUCUACUAGGGAAAUGAGCAAUGGAUGAGCACUGGCUACCUUUUACUAUCCUGAGAGGAUAAAUUUCUGCCAUCAUAGGAGAGAACUAUCACCUGUGCCAACAGUUUUGAGGCUUUAGCUAAAAUUGGGAGAUGUCAGAAGUUUGUAACCUAACAUCCUUUAUGUUUGCAUGCAUUAAAAACUAUACUGAGAAAAGAAAAACAGGACUAUAUAUGGGAAUAAGAAAG
rnacentral:lncRNA from 1 species